GUACCUACCUAGUGCUACCAACCCCUAUUUCUGUAGGGAAAUGAGAGCAGAGCAGGCAGUAACCCUUCCAUCCAUCAUUCUGUACCUAUAAACCUGACCCAGACAUUACUGCCCCCCAUUAGUGUAUAAUGGCUACUGGGGUAGAAAGAGAUGAGUAUCUGAUGAAAUCUGUGCACAAGAUGAAUCCCUGAAUGCACAACAUAACAUAUUAAACUGUAUUACCUGCUCAUAUUAUGUUGUUGCAGACAACCCAGAGAACAGAUGGGUCAACAACUAUGAUGAGCCUCUUCAUUUCGAGUGUCCCAAUCAUCAGAGCAUCAGCUUAAUUAUCAGCAACCAUGAUAAUAAGAGGGAGGAUCGAGUUUGGGAUUUCAGCUGCAAGGCCACAUUCAGCGAGCAAAGGUUCUGCUAUUGGACCGGAUACGUCAAUGACUUUGACCAAGAGUUUACCUUCACCUGCGCGUCGGGUUCUGUUCUGACCGGAAUGGACAGUAUCAUGAUAACAAGAGGGAGGACAGAAGGUGGCAGUUUCUCUGUUGCCAGGGGGAGGUGCCAGUUGAUCGCUUGUGCACGUGGAGUGGAUAUGUCAAUUAAUUCAAUGAGUAUUUGAGGUGGGACGCAGACCCUGAUUAUUACCUGGUGGGAGUAUCCAGUUACCAUGACAACUACAGAGAGUAAGUAUAAUUGAACUUUCCCCCCUACCCCCUGAAAACAGUUUGUAACACUAUA